rnacentral:lncRNA from 1 species
AUCUCUCAAUUUAUAAGUGUAUAACAACAGUAUUAUGCUGGUGAAAGUUACCAUUUUAUGGAUCACUGGGGCUGGCUCCUUUCAGAGGAAUGAGCACAUUAGCAAUUGGCCUCUCUCAUCUGGUCUUAACGUGGGCUUAACUGCUGCCUUGACUGAAAACAAUAGCAAUGAAGGCAAAGCAAGCGCAGACCCUGCAGUAGGCCGGCCAGACAGAAGGUUCUGCUCUGCAGGGGUCCCGGAAAAGAGGAGGCAGAUAGGUGCCUUCCCCAAGGGUCCUAGGCUGCUGUCUGUGGGGUUGUGAACCACGAAAUUUUCUAGUUCCUUUCAGAAAUGACCUGGUCAGACAUAAUGGAACUGGGUAUCCCCAGCCCUUUCAAAAAAAAAAUCCUACUAAAGACCCAACCAAUGUAUUUCAGAUCACAUUUGUGCCUACAUUAAGUACACUAAAUUAUACACAAAAUGUUACUGGAAAGUCCCCAAGAGAUGAUUCUUGGAUCUCAUGCAAGAAAGAUUUUGGGGUGAGUCCACAGAAUAAAGUGAAAGCGAGUUUAUUGGAGAAGUAAAGAAACAAAGGAAUGGCUACUCCAUGGGCAGGGCAGGGCGUUCCCAAAAGCAAGAGAGCAAGGGGAGGAGUGUUCCUAUCUUAGGUGCAAAGCUUUUUUUUUUUUUUUUUUUUUUUAAGAUGUUGUCUUGCCCUGGGCUGGGCUGUGUGGGGAGGCCAUGGAAAGCAGCCUGGACUACAGUCAUAAGCUGAGUCAUAAGCUGAGGACUUGGCUCACAAACAAGCCCUACAUGAGACCCUGCUGGUGGGGGUCGGGGGUGGGUCCUGUUAUCCCCUUCUCUGCCCCCUGCCUUCUCUGCAGGAAUGCUGGCUGAUGGCCCCUGCCUCAUCUCCAGGCCCCCAUGUCUUCAAGAUGCUUGUUUACCCAGUUGCCACAGCCUCCCCAGGAACUCGUGGGAGCAAGCUCUGCAUGGCUGACAGCCCCAUUUAGAAGAGGGCGCUGUGGAAUGAAUGGUCCCCCCUGCAGCUCAGCCUCAUCUCCUUAAUGGAUCCUAAUUACCCCUGUCCUGCUUAUAGCUUCUCUCCAGGACCCACUUGUCAGGAUGAUGGAUGAGGUGACUGGGAGGUGGGGCCAGCUGGGACUGGAGGAAUCCCCCCACUGUCUAGUAGGGCGGGGACGCAGGAACUUUCAGUCAGUCCCAAAGAUUCUGAGGAAGAGAAGACAACAUUGCAGGAUGAGCUCUUCUCCCCUUUUGUCCCCAAAACUUGGGCCAGUUCUAGCAAACUCAUACACCACUCCAGUAGCCCUGUGUAGAGGCCCACAUGGAGAGGAACAAAAUUGCCAGCACUAACUCAUGAGGCAUAUGAGUGAACCAACUUAAGAGCAUAUCCUCCAGCCCUGGUCAAGCCUUCAGAUGACUUCAGUCCCUCAGCCCUCAUGUGCUCCAGUUGAGGCCCCAGACAUCAUGGAGCAGAGGACAUUUCCUCAUGAUUAAUUUCAGACCAUACAUCUUUGGCAAGAGUUUCACAGAAACUUCUCAUCGCAUCUUAUCAGGCGGCACACGAUUCUGUUUUGUCUUGGAAUGAAGGAUGCUGACUUUGAUCACUUGCUUGCCGUAGUGUCUGCCAGCCGUCUCCACCAUCAAGCUACUCUUUUCUUCUUUCAGGGUGUGGCUGUGCUAGGAAAGAGACUUGGCCCACAGCCUCACAGUGAUUCAGAAGACGCUGGGUGAGGACCUCUGUGUCCCUGCUCCAAGGACCCUGAGAUGACCCAUCCCAGGACACUCAAUCCUGCCUGCAGAUGCUAGGCUCUGAGGAGAUGCCUGCUAUAGCACCAGCACAUUCUGCAGACAUGUUUUGAAAUGUGUUAAUAAAUAACUGGAGAACAGUAUCUAUACAAUUACCUAGAUUUGCCUGAACUUUACAGGGCAACUAAACAAACAGACAUACGUUCGCAGAAAGGCCACAGUACAGAAGACAAACCGAGGCUUGGUCACCCUGAGGAUCAGCAGCCGGAUCUUUUUCUGAAACAAAUUUCCUGCUAGAGAAUCCCUGAUCUCUGUGAUGCAGUAUUUCCCUAGUUUUUAUUUCUACUUCAACGAGGCACCUCAAUGUCAGUUUCCUUUGGGAAAAGAAAAUCAAAUGUCCCCACAGCUUUUGCCCAAUUGUGAAGGAAAAUUUCAGCAUUGAUUGUCUGUCUGGACUCUUGUGGGGAGGAGGCCAGUGGGCCUAGUAAGACCCUUAGCACACCUGGGCUGUCUAGCCUUAAGGAAACCAGACCUGCCAGGAAAGCAGAAAAGCUGUGAAGAGAUUUUUCUCUGCCUUCCUCGGGGGACAAUCUUCCAGAGCAACAAUGCACCAUGUAUUUACAGAAAACUUAUUAUGUUCAAGGUGCUGGGAGAAGCUAGUUGCAGAUACUUAGAGCAGUAAGGCUUUAAGUUAGACAUAAGGAAGGACUUCCAGCUAUUGGUAUUGAUAUAGUAGGACCCAAGCUUACUUCACAGCUUGCAUCAUCAGGGAAGGAUGAGAUCAUUCUUGAGAACAUUUUGAAUAAAGGCUUAGAGGGACUGAAUAUUGAACGAUCCUGUUAACAUUUCUCCCGGUCCUCCUCCUGCUUUCCAGGAUGAUACUGGUGUAUGAUUUUUACUUAAAGCCCUCCCCCAUCCCCACAGAGACACCUGGAGCCUGGCGGGCCUUGGCAUCAGUGGCUGUUGUCAUGGCGGGGAGAGCUGAGGUGACCACUGUGACUGCCCUGGGCACAAGGACCGUCGUUCUGUGAAUCCUCCCUAAGCCCGCUGGCGGGGCCCCUUUGCUGCCACUGCAAGUAAAGUUUCCCAGCUCAAGUAAAUUCUGGAGGGGAUUGACCUAAUUUCCAGAGUCUAAGGGGUGACAAAAAGCCCCAGUCAAAACUCCUGUAAGUGGGUGAUAAACAGUCUCUAUUAGAAAAAAUAAAUAACAUCUCCAAAGGAGAGCAGGCUUCCUAAGACCCCCUUGCCUUUCAGAGAGACAGCUGUCUCCUGGGAGGAGGACUCCCUGAGCCUCCCGCUUCAGCCGCUCCAGAGGAAAGGUUUGCCUUGCUGUCUCACUGCAGCGCUAGCUGCUCACCAUUUUCACCGACCGCCGCAGCCUCCUGAUGGACCCCACAGCAGGAAGAGGCUGUGGGAGAGGUCUCCACCCUUCAAGGUGGGGCUGACAGUGGUGCUUGGCCUUUAGAGUUGAAAUGUAUUGGUUCUCUGCCUUGGGAGGAACAAUCACUCUCUCUCUCUCUGUCUCUCUCUAUUUCUGUCUGUCUCUCUCUCAAACACACAUACACAUACACUGAGACAGCUAUCAUCAUACCUAAUUUACAUAUUAUGGAAACCGAGGCCCAGAGAGGUUAAAUAACUUGCGUGGUUUUGUCCAGCUAUUAAGUGGGCAAAGCUAGAAUUAGAAUUGAAGCCCAGUGACAGCUUUCAAAUCAAGUUCUUUCCCCUAUUCUGGAGCUGCAGCAACUUUAAUAAGCAUAAGAAGUACUUUGGGAUCUUGUUCAAAUGCAAGUUCUGCAGGUCUAGGGUGGGGUGGAGAUUCUGCAUUUGCAGUAAGUUCCCAAGUAGCAGGGUGUGCUACAAACACCUCAAAGCUGCAGACCCUGGGGAACAGUCCCCAUAGAAUAGGAGGCGGGAAUCAUUCUGGAAAAUAGGGAGACAUAAAUACCCAGACAAGCUUAGGUCUCCAAGGAGGCAGGGAGAUCAGGAGUGGGAGGAAAGGGCAGUCUGUCUCUCUUUCCUUAGAAGACUUCGUGGUUUGAACAUUGCCUUGGUUAGAUUUCCUGAUAUGGGUACAACUUGUGCUGAUCUCAGUGGGAAUCUGGAGCCAGAGAUGACCAGGAAUAGAGGGGGAUAACAUCUGCCAAGUUCCAUUCCUGGUUCAAAAUUCUAACUUGCCAGCUUGUUCAUUCAUCUAAUGACUCAGACCUGAUGGCAGAUUGAAUUUUCCAAAAAUGACUGCAACAAUAUCUUCCAUCCCACAUGUUAUUCUUACAGUGGGACUUUCCAUCUAGAGGUAGGACCUGUAUUUCUUCCCCAUGAAUCUGAGUGGAUGUGCAGUUAUAGUUGAAGUGAUGCUAUGGGACUUCAGAGGCUAGGUCAUAAAAGGCAAUACAUUAGGCCGAGCAUGAUGGCUCACACCUGUAAUCCCAACGCUUCGGGAGGCUGAGGCGGGUGGAUCACCUGAGGUUGGGAGUUCAAGACCAGCCUGACCAACCUGGAGAAACCCCGUCUCUACUAAAAAUACAGAAUUAGCUGGGCAUGGUGGCACAUGCCUGUAAUCCCAGCCACUCAGGAGACUGAGACAGGAGAAUCACUUGAACCUGGGAGGCGGAA